rnacentral:rRNA from 1 species
GACAGAGGCCUCAAGCGUUAGGCGGAAUCACUGGGCUUAAAGCGUGUGUAGGCGGGUCGUUAAGUACCUUGUGAAAUCCCACGGCUCACCCGUGGAACUGCUGGGUAUACUGGCGAUCUUGGGCCAUUCAGGGGCAACUGGAACAAGCGGUGGAGCGGUGAAAUGCGUAGAUAUCGGCAGGAAGACCAAGGGGGAAGCCAGGCACCUGGGCCCGUACUGACACUCAUGGACGACCGCGUGGGGAGCGAACCGG